rnacentral:ncRNA from 1 species
CUCUUAUCCCGAGAUGGUGGAGGGGACAGGCCCCUAUGAAACCCGGCAACCUGCCAAAAGAUUUAAGUGAUCAUUCCUCUUAAGGGAAUUUAUUGGCGCUGGUGCUAACCUGAUGCAAGGUCAAACCCUUGAACGAUAAGAG